UACGUAGGGUGCGAGCGUUAAUCGGAAUUACUGGGCGUAAAGCGUGCGCAGGCGGCGCGUUAAGACAGGUGUGAAAGCCCCGAGCUUAACUUGGGAAUUGCGCUUGUGACUGGCGUGCUGGAGUGUGGCAGAGGGAGGUGGAAUUCCACGUGUAGCAGUGAAAUGCGUAGAGAUGUGGAGGAACACCGGUGGCGAAGGCGGCAUCCUGGACCAUUACUGACGCUGAUCCGCGAAAGCUAGGGGAGCAAACGGG
rnacentral:rRNA from 1 species